CUGGAAGCUUGUAUAAACAAAAUAGGCCCCAAAUUACAUUCUCACCACAGAAAUUAGAUAAUUUAUCAAGUGCAAAAAGAACACGAGAAUAUUCUGCACAAUUUAUCAAGGACCUUCAAAUAAAUCCAUUACAAAAAAUACCCCUUCAGGCAAAAUAAAUAAGACUGAAAUUCAGCAUAACAAAUUUGCAAAGUUUAAAAUUAGCUUAACGUGAGGGCUGCAAUUCCAGUUACAAAGCAAAUGUCCCAAGUUCCCCCAAAGAACUUAAGACAAAUUGAUUAAAGUUGUUCAGUUAUUUUAGAAUAUUUUGUUUAGAGAAACCAAACUUGAAGUCUCAUUAAAAGUAACAUCUAUCAAGUGAUAAAGCAAAUGUAACAUAAUAUUACUGCAGAUUCUAGGUCGUAGAUGUUCACUAUACAAGUCUUUCAACAUUUCUGCAUGUUUGGGAAAUUUCAUCAAGUGCUGAAGAAAAAAAGCAAAAAAAGUAACAUCUGCGCCUUACCAUCUAAAAUUUACAUGACAAGGUACCAGAAAUUGGUCAGCUUCAACUGCUGCUUUCAAUAAAUGUUCAUUAUUACGUAUUUGAGUGUGUGCAACGUGCCAGGCACUGUGGUAAGAAGAGGGGAUUCAGCAGCAACCAGAACACAUCCCCAUUCCACACAGUUUACCUUCUCCUGGGGACUUGCAUAGAAGAGAACUAUGGUCACUGCUGCUUGGGCGAUUGUCCGAGUGGGACAGCACCUACCUUCAGAGCUGCAGACAGUAAGAGCAGAGGCACAUGCCCCAACUUCCCCAUCUUAAAGUGAAGGCUGUAAUUGAGUGUCACAGUCUGCCAAGAUCCAUCCAAUUUGAUUUCAUCAGAUCAUCUUUCUGGAUACUGGGAAUUUGUAAGUGCCAAGUACACUCUACAGGCACAAAGACAGAAACAGAGAAACUAACUUACAGUCCAUCAUGUCAAUCUGGGAGUUUAGAAAAAGCACACUUCAAAAUAAAAAUAUAAAUGACUACUUAUGGCUCCUUUUCAUUUCCUUAAGGCAUUGCACUGUUUAGGUUGUAAGCAACUAGGCAUCACAAACAGAAUCUGAUGUUUUUGUUUUGUUUUGUGAGACAGUGUUGCACUCUGUCACCCAGGCUGGGGGUGCAGUGGCAUGAUCUUGGCUCACUGCAACCUGUGCUUCCCGGGUUCAAGCGAUUCCCGUGCCUCAGCCUCCCAAGAAGCUGGGAUUACAGGCAUGUAUCAUGACACCUGGCUAAUUUUUGUAUUUUUAUAGAGAUGGGGUUUCACCAUUUUGGCCAGGCUGGUCUCGAACUCCUGGCUUCAAGUAAUCCGCCAGCCUCCACCUCCCAAAGUGCUGGGAUUAUAGGCGUGAGCCACCGUGCCCAGCCUAAUAGUAUUUUAUAUAAAAUAAUGAGUAGAACUUGAGGCAAGCCAAGAGAACAGUGUUAGUACAUACAAGCAAUUGUUCCUCUGUAAAAAUAAUGCAUUCUAACUGUAUACAUAAUUCAUAAGCAUGCUUAGUUUAUCUAAGACUUACUGGUGUAAAAACGGUAAUAGAGAAUUAUACUGUGACCUGUAUAAUUUUAUAUGGGUCACAAUAAUUAACUGCUAGAGAUCGUCCAGUAUCUCUGUAUUAUUCCAUCAUUAGAAUAAAAAACACCUGCCUUCAUUCUGUUUCACUUUUUUCUACUAUUUAUCCCCAAAAUAAAAGUUAAAUCAUAUUGUAGUAUACCAAUAAACAGUCUUUGCUGCCAAUAGAUAGUAAUAAACUACCAAACUUCAAAUCAACAUUCAGACUU
rnacentral:lncRNA from 10 species